rnacentral:tRNA from 1 species
GUCGCUAUGGUGGAACAGGCAGACACGCUAUCUUGAGGGGGUAGUGCCGAAAGGCGUAUGGGUUCGACUCCCAUUGGCGACA